AUACCUUUCUCGGCCUUUUGGCUAAGAUCAAGUGUAGUGUUUGUUCUUAUAAGUUUAAUAUCUGAUAUGUGGGUCAUAGACACAGUCGAUAUUUUAGUUUUUUUUGGCAAAUUUGAAUCACU
rnacentral:snRNA from 2 species